UGGACCAGUGAUGUGAAUGGAAUGCAUCUGAAUACAAAUUAUGAUCAAUCAUUGAAACACUGAGGUCCAU
rnacentral:snoRNA from 1 species